CGGACGGGUGAGUAACGCGUGGGUAACCUGCCUCAUACAGGGGGAUAACGGUUAGAAAUGACUGCUAAUACCGCAUAAGCGCACAGUACCGCAUGGUACGGUGUGAAAAAACUCCGGUGGUAUGAGAUGGACCCGCGUCUGAUUAGCUAGUUGGUGAGGUAACGGCCCACCAAGGCGACGAUCAGUAGCCGACCUGAGAGGGUGACCGGCCACAUUGGGACUGAGACACGGCCCAG
rnacentral:rRNA from 1 species